AUUUCCCUACCAGCUCUAGUUCUGGGCUGAUUCGCAGAGGUUCGGAGCACUCACACUGGGGGUGUGCAGCCCACAUGUAAACCAGGUCCAGGCUUGCCUUUCAUCCUGUGAGCGCAUCUUCCCACCUAUUGGAAGUGGGAGAGAGAGAAUUAGAUCAUCCACUCCCGACAGAGCUGCGAGAAGACGAAGACAAGACACUGUUCCCAUAGGGAUGGGCAUUUAACUAGGUAGGGGGAGGAAAAUCCCAGCGAGCUGAGCCGAGCCCUCGCGCGUGGGAGCGCCUCAGCCCAGGCCAGCAGCGAAAAGGAGACGCACGCUGAUGUUCCGGCUUCCUUCGCAAAGCCAGAGAGCGCCGCAGGGCGCAGCUCUGCCGGAGUUAGAGACAGGCAGAGCCAGCCCUUCCUUCAGCGGGGAGGGGCACCGCCACAGACCCCAGGAACCAGCUGGGCACGUACCUCCGCGCCACCCGGGAAACUUUCUUCUCCGGAGAGCACUGCGGAGCUGGAAAGUUUCCCAUCCCCGUCCGAGCCCUGUAACAGGGAUUAUCCAAGGCAGAAGAACUUCCUCCUUUUAGUCGAGAACCCAAAUGGGAUUACAUCCAUGUUCUUCUAGAACUGCAUAUAUGCACGAGACAGUCCCAGCACUGAAGGCUGCAAUUGUAGUCACUGUUCACAAGUAUUACCAGCUUGCUUGGACGAAUAAUUGUCAGACAAUGUCUGGUUUGUGAUCUAUUCAUAAACUAUUCACUGCUGCCUGAUCAUCUCCCAUGAUGCACCACAGUUUGGUGUGGAGAGUCGUGGGGUGGAGAGGCAGUGCAGUGUGGGAGUAACAUGCCCAUGAUGCAUCAGAGGAGAUGAAGUCGGGCUGAGGAGUCAGGCACACAGAGGAGAAUGGAGACUAAGACAGCAAAAUCCUGGCUAAGCUCACCAAGAGUGUGCCAGAGUAAUGGAAAGGUGGAGCAGAACAAUAGCAAUCAAGACUCUGGCACAGAGGAGGUUGCCUCAGAGGUGUGUGGGAUCACUAUGCUCUGCAGCACUAUCUUAUCUCCUCCUCCUCUCCAGCACUUGCUAUCCACCAUAGCAUGUGCCCAGAAAGCUUGGCCUCAAGCCAUCCACUCCCACCCCCGUGAAGCUAUGGGAUGGUGUGGAGGCAUAUCAGCCAGCACUCUUCUAAAACUCAAGAGUGUAUCCUCCUUCGUUCCUGAACAGAUGCAGAGGGACAAAGAGGCUCCCUAGACACCCCCCGCACCCCCAGUGCAGUCAUGCAAUGCAUUACAUGGAUUUUACACACUAGCAAGAGUCAUACAUGAUACAGUGACACUCUAAAGAGGGAUUACACAUGCAUACUGCAGGACAAGCGUGCACAAUUUUCUGUAUUGGGUAGGGCCUACAAGACAGGGGAGGGAGGCUGCAUUUCUGACAUGAAUGCUAAAAGUUAAGAGCAACAAGAAAAAGCAUGCCCAAUAUGCCAGUUUUACAGCUUAGUCAUUUUAGUACACUCGCUUUCAUUUGAUCAUCAUUUGAUGAUGAUCUAGGGAAGCAAAUGCAAUAAAUCCAAAUUAAAUCCACAAAACCAUCUGUUUUCUUAUCUCAGUGAAGUCAAUGUAUAUGUUCCAAUUAUUUCUCUCAGUAAAGCCAAGAAAGUCUGGAAAAUAGACUGAGCCCUUGAUCAUCUUACACAUCGCUUUCUAGGCAGCAGCCUGGCCUGGGGGAUGCAUGUGCUCUGCUCUGCCCUGCCAGCCGGACCCAGACACAGCUUAUUUCCCAUUAAUGUAUUUUGCCUUUGUUUCUUGGCUCCCAGAUUUGAAAGGCACCGUGGA